ACAUGCCUACAACAUAGCGUUAAUGCAUCGGAUCCCAUUAGAACUCCACAGUUAAGCGUGCUUGGUCUAGAGUAGUACUGGGAUGGGUUACCACUUGGGAAGUACUAGUAUUUUACAUGCC
rnacentral:rRNA from 1 species